UUAAAUUGAAGAGUUUGAUCAUGGCUCAGAUUGAACGCUGGCGGCAGGCCUAACACAUGCAAGUCGAACGGUAACAGGAAGCAGCUUGCUGCUUUGCUGACGAGUGGCGGACGGGUGAGUAAUGUCUGGGAAACUGCCUGAUGGAGGGGGAUAACUACUGGAAACGGUAGCUAAUACCGCAUAAUGUCGCAAGACCAAAGAGGGGGACCUUCGGGCCUCUUGCCAUCGGAUGUGCCCAGAUGGGAUUAGCUAGUAGGUGGGGUAAAGGCUCACCUAGGCGACGAUCCCUAGCUGGUCUGAGAGGAUGACCAGCCACACUGGAACUGAGACACGGUCCAGACUCCUACGGGAGGCAGCAGUGGGGAAUAUUGCACAAUGGGCGCAAGCCUGAUGCAGCCAUGCCGCGUGUAUGAAGAAGG
rnacentral:rRNA from 1 species